AUACAGAGGGUGCAAGCGUUAAUCGGAUUUACUGGGCGUAAAGCGCGCGUAGGUGGCUAAUUAAGUCAAAUGUGAAAUCCCCGAGCUUAACUUGGGAAUUGCAUUCGAUACUGGUUAGCUAGAGUAUGGGAGAGGAUGGUAGAAUUCCAGGUGUAGCGGUGAAAUGCGUAGAGAUCUGGAGGAAUACCGAUGGCGAAGGCAGCCAGCUGGCCUAAUACUGUCACUGAGGUGCGAAAGCAUGGGGAACAAACAGGAUUAGAUACCCUGGUAGUCCAUGCCGUAAACGAUGUCUACUAGCCGUUGGGGCCCUUGAGGCUUUAGUGGCGCAGCUAACGCGAUAAGUAGACCGCCUGGGGAGUACGGUCGCAAGACUAAAACUCAAAUGAAUUGACGGGG
rnacentral:rRNA from 1 species